GCUGGGUCCCUUCCGCCCUGGCGCGCUCCUCCACCAGCCCGCGGCUGCGAGCUGGGCAGCGAGAUCCACAGCACAGGGCUGGCGCGGAAAACACCGUCCUGAAGGCUGCUGCUGCGGGUGCUCUUGGAGCGACUUGUGGCUGUCGCCACUUGGUCCCCACAGACUCAAGAGGACGCUACCACCCGGACCGGACUCAGGCAUCCGGAGCACCGCACUCUUCCGAGAACUGCCUACCUCACGUGCCACCUCCGGGUUUCCUUCGCAAAGUCAGCCAAGAUGUAGAAUUUGGAAGUAGCUCUGAGUUGAGCGGAACCUCAGAAGAUGGAAGCAGCGGCCUCAGCCUCUUACGGCUUCAAGAGCCACUGCGGGAAGGAGCCAGAGGGCUUCCUCGGGCCCCGGAUUAAAAUAGAUGCCAGCGGCCGCCCUAAGGCCCGGCAGCCAAUCAGCCUGGUGGGUGGGAUUGGGCAUGGGCAGCUGGAGCGGUUGCGAAACAGGAGAUACUUCCAGGCUUACCCUGAUUUUUUUGAGAAGGGCGCUGGUUCCCUCAGACAUUUACAUAGACUUGUCUUUACGUGUUCAGUGGGCAGUGUGUUCACACCGGGAUUGAAGUCGCUCAACUGUGAAAUGACAUGGGAACGUUCCAGUGUGUUCACACCAGGAUUGAAGUCAAUAAACUGUGAAGUGACAUGGGAACGUUCAAUGGCCUCACACCUCGGAGUCUCAAUCCUUACUGAUUUGAUCCCCUGAAUCCACAGGUGCAAGAGAGAGCCAACUCCUGAAAGUUGUCCUGUGACAUCCACACUUGCAACAUGACAUAGAUCCUAUAAGGUGGACAUGACUGUGCAGAGAAUGCUGCCCACUGAUUCUCAGCACCACUGCAAACUUCAUCUGAUAGGCUUAGUGUACUCAGGAGCACGUCAAUCCGCCAUCUUUGAGUCAGGCUGUAGUAUGCACAAUCUGAUGCUACCAGGGGUCUUCCUGUCCUCCAUUGUUCCUUCUUGAACUAUGACUACAAACUGAGCAUGCUCAGUAGUAUAUACUUUGAAUUGAAUAUGCGGGGCAAUGUAUCAACACCAAACACUUUCCCAUAUGACUGUGUGUUGAGCUUUGUCACAGGAGG
rnacentral:lncRNA from 1 species